rnacentral:rRNA from 1 species
CAUUACUGAAGAAAUGGCAUGGUUGAGCUGGCUCCUCGGAGCAUGUGCUUGCCUUGUCGCUUUUUCUACUUUCCACUGUGCACCUUAUGUAGGCUUUAUGAUCCUUUGGGAAAGGGGACCUCGUCCCUUUUAUCAAUCGUUGUAAAUGCCUAUGUCUACAUACACCAAUAAAGUCUAUGAAUGUCUUAUCGUUGGUCUUGACUGACCGAUAAAAACCUAUACAACUUUCAGCAACGGAUCUCUUGGCUCUCGCAUCGAUGAAGAACGCAGCGAAAUGCGAUAAGUAAUGUGAAUUGCAGAAUUCAGUGAAUCAUCGAAUCUUUGAACGCACCUUGCGCCCUUUGGUAUUCCGAAGGGCAUGCCUGUUUGAGUGUCAUUAAAUUCUCAAAACCCAGUCGGUUUUACAUCGACCGGGAUCUUGGACUGUGAGGGUUGCUGGUCCUUGAUCAGACUCCCUUUAAAUACAUUAGUGGUUACCGAUCCGCUUCCACUUGGUGUGAUAGUCUAUCUACGCCUAUUGGAAUGAUCAGUUGUUAUCCGCUGUCGAACCGUCUUCGGACAACUCUUGACAAUUUGACCUCAAAUCAGGUAGGACUACCC